CCAAUCGAACCCGGAGAUAGCUGGUUCUCCUCGAAAUAGCUUUAGGGCUAGCCUCGUGUUAACCUUGUGGAGGUAGAGCACUGAAUAUCCUAGGGGGCGUCAAAGUCUACCGAAGAUUAUCAAACUCCGAAUGCCAUAAAGGUGAUGCACGGGAGUCAGACUGCACGAGAUAAGUUGGGUGGUCAAAAGGGAAAGAGCCCAGACCUACAGCUAAGGUCCCAAAGUGCGUGUUAAGUGGAAAAGGAUGUGGGAUUUCGAAGACAACUAGGAUGUUGGCUCAGAAGCAGCCAUACAUUCAAAGAGUGCGUAAUAGCUCACUAGUCGAGAGGUCCUGCGCCGAAAAUGUCCGGGGCUGAAACACGACACCGAAGCUUAGGAAUGUAGAAAUACAUUGGUAGAGGAGCAUUGUUAGCGCAGCGAAGCUGUACCGAUAAGGAGCAGUGGAGUGCUAAGAAGAGAGAAUGCCGGAAUGAGUAGCGAGAGGAAGGUGAGAAUCCUUCCGGCCGAAUAUCCAAGGUUUCCAGAGUAAAGCUGAUCUGCUCUGGGUAAGUCGGGGCCUAAGGCGAGGUCGAAAGACGUAGUCGAUGGAUAACAGGUGGAGAUUCCUGUACUAUGUGUACCCAGAAAUGUGGGGACGCAUGUGGAGAGCACGAGCCGGGAAAGAGAAGACCGGUACAAGCGGGGUAGGAGUAAGGACAGCAAAUCUUCCUUACAAUCCGAAGACGUAAUGUGGACCGAACCAAAGUAGGGAAGCGUGUGAGCCAUGUGCCAAGAAAAGCCGCUAUAGUGAUACACAUACCCGUACCGUAAACCGACACAGGUGGAUGAGGAGAGAAUCCUAAGGCCGACGGAAGAAGCAUUGUUAAGGAACUCGGCAAAAUGACCCCGUAACUUCGGGAGAAGGGGUGCCCUGUGAAAGCAGGGCCGCAGAGAAUAGGCUCAAGCAACUGUUUAGCAAAAACACAGGUCUAUGCGAAACCGAAAGGUGAGGUAUAUGGGCUGACGCCUGCCCGGUGCUGGAAGGUUAAGAGGAGAGGUUAGCGGUAACGCGAAGCUUUGAAUUUAAGCCCCAGUAAACGGCGGCCGUAACUAUAACGGUCCUAAGGUAGCGAAAUUCCUUGUCGGGUAAGUUCCGACCCGCACGAAAGGCGUAAUGAUUUGAGCACUGUCUCGACAAUGCAUCCGGUGAAAUUGAAGUACCAGUGAAGAUGCUGGUUACCUGCGCCAGGACGGAAAGACCCCAUGGAGCUUUACUCCAGCUUGAUACUGGGAUUCGAUACUGUAUGUACAGGAUAGGUGGGAGACGUUGAGCAUAGAACGCCAGUUUUAUGUGAGUCGCUGUUGGGAUACCACCCUUGCAGUAUUGGAUUUCUAACCUGCACCCAUGACCUGGGUGGGGGACAAUGUCUGGCGGGGAGUUUGACUGGGGCGGUCGCCUCCGAAAGGGUAUCGGAGGCGCUCAAAGGUUCCCUCAGAAUGGUUGGAAACCAUUCGAAGAGUGCAAAGGCAGAAGGGAGCUUGACUGCGACACCGACGGGUGGAGCAGGUACGAAAGUAGGACUUAGUGAUCCGGUGGUAUAAAGUGGGAUUGCCAUCGCUCAACGGAUAAAAGCUACCCUGGGGAUAACAGGCUUAUCACUCCCAAGAGUUCACAUCGACGGAGUGGUUUGGCACCUCGAUGUCGGCUCAUCGCAUCCUGGGGCUGUAGCAGGUCCCAAGGGUUGGGCUGUUCGCCCAUUAAAGCGGUACGCGAGCUGGGUUCAGAACGUCGUGAGACAGUUCGGUCCCUAUCCGGCGCAGGCGGAGGAUAUUUGAGAGGAGCUGUCCUUAGUACGAGAGGACCGGGAUGGACGGACCACUGGUGUAUCUGUUGGCUAUCAGAGCCAUGGCAGAGUAGCCAAGUCCGGCAGGGAUAAACGCUGAAGGCAUCUAAGCGUGAAGCCCCCCUCAAGAUGAGAUAUCCCUCAGAAAUGAGUAAGACCCCUUGAAGACUACGAGGUAGAUAGGAAUGAGGUGUAAGCACAGCAAUGUGUUCAGCUGACAUUUACUAAUCGGUCGAGGGCUUGACCAA
rnacentral:rRNA from 1 species